rnacentral:misc_RNA from 1 species
CAAACUGUGAUAAUUAAUAUGAAUUGCAGAAUUCUGUGAAUCAUCGAGAUGUCGAACGCACUGCGCCUGGGGGCAACCUCGGGCACGUCUGGUCGAGUGACGAUUAACUCUGAACCUACUACCCCAUUAGGGGUCUGUUUGGUUCGAUAUGCGGGCUGUGGGGCUUGCUUCACUCCUGUUAAAUGCCAACCUUGCCUUUAACAAUGCAAUCUUGUAACCAGGAUAUAUUUUUACCCUGGCCACAUGCAGUUUGGGUAAGGAUCACCAAUAUGUUGGACAAACCAAAUUAUAAGGUGUUCACCCAUCUUUUUGAGUGGCAUCUUAGACCAAAAAACCGUCCUCGACUCAGGCGGGACUACCCGCUGAACUUAAGC